AUGAGUCUUUGCCAAAAAGAUGCUAGAGUUAUGCUCUUUGGCAUCGCCCAAGGAUGAGGCCGCGACCGAUCAGGUUGUUGGUGAGGUAAUGGCUCACCAAGCCUUUUACCGGUGCGGGCCGUGAGAGCGGGAGCCCGGAGAUGGGCACUGAGACAAGGGCCCAGGCCCUACGGGGCGCAGCAGUCGCGAAAACUUUGCAAUACACGAAAGUGUGACAGGGCUAUCCCGAGUGCCAUCCGCUGAGGAAGGCUUUUACCCAGUCUAGAACGCUGGGGGAAUAAGGAGAGGGCAAGUCUGGUGUCAGCCGCCGCGGUAAUACCAGCUCUCCGAGUGGUGUGGAUGUUUAUUGGGCCUAAAGCAUCCGUAGCUGGCUAAGUUAGUCCCUUGUUAAAUCCACCGAAUUAAUCGUUGGAUUGCGGGGGAUACUGCUUGGCUAGGGGACGAGAGAGGCAGACGGUAUUUCCGGGGUAGGGGUGAAAUCCUAUAAUCCCGGGAAGACCACCAGUGGCGAAGGCUGUCUGCUAGAACGCGCCCGACGGUGAGGGAUGAAAGCUGGGGGAGCGAACCGGAUUAGAUACCCGGGUAGUCCCAGCUGUAGACGAUGCAGGCUAGGUGUUUGGACGGCCACGUGCCGUUCUAGUGCCGCAGGGAAGCUGUUAAGCCUGCCGCCUGGGGAGUACGAUCGCAAGAUUGAAACUUAAAGGAAUUGGCGGGGGAGCACCACAAGGGGUGAAGCUUGCGGUUCAAUUGGAUUCAACGCCGGA
rnacentral:rRNA from 1 species